rnacentral:lncRNA from 1 species
CAGAAGUCAGGUCGGAUUAAGCCAUAGUACGGAAAAAACUAUGCUACCUGUGAGCCCCGUCCAAGGACGCUAAAAGAAGUCAGGCCACCACAAGUGCCAUAGCUUGAGUAAAC